rnacentral:rRNA from 1 species
UACGUAGGUGGCAAGCGUUGUCCGGAUUAUCUGGGCGUAAAGAGCGCGCAGGCGGCCAAGUCAGUCGAAUGUGAAAAGCCCCCCGGGCGUUAACUUCGGGGAGGGGUCAUUCGAUACGUGCUCGGCUCGAAGACAGGAGAGGGAAGUGGAAUUCCCGGUGUAGUGGUGAAAUGCGUAGAUAUCGGAGGAACACCAGUGGCGAAGGCGGCUACCUGGACAAUUGCUGACGCUCAGGCACGAAAGCGUGGGAGCAA